rnacentral:lncRNA from 1 species
CUCUGAUCCUAUUUUAGUGAAUCUGCUUUUACGAUUAAACCAUCACUGUAAUUGGCACUGGAAGAGCAUUGGCAGUCUGCUGUGGUCGCCUUCCCUGCAAAGAACGUUUGUGAUGCUCAUCUCUGAAUGAUGCAUAGUGUCUGCCUGUAUUCAGAUUUAAAAAGAAUUUAAAAAAAGAAUGCAUGAACAGCAGGUAGACUGGUCAGCAGUGAUUCAGUCCCUGGCAGCCAUGAUGAGAGCACCACAAGCUCAACUCAGCCCUGCUGGAGGUGGAUAUUUCUCCAUUUCCUUUCAUGGCAUUGCACCUACGUUACACCAGGUAUCAAGGGAAAAUGGCUAGCAGUGAGUUCUGUAGCUUUUCCUGCUCUACAGCCCCCCUGGCUUAGCCAGCUGGAUCACACUGAAUUAGUCAAGUACUUCAUUAUCUCCCUUCUCUGCACAUUUAGCUCCAGCGAGAACGAACCCUUCCACAGCAAUACCAACCUCGGGGGUCCCCAAGCACUUCUGCACCUGCCUCGGAAGGACAGACAGACUCUCCCAGCUGCCCACAGGUGGAAGCAGGCUGCGAGCCCUCCAUGCUGACAUGUAGCAAGCCACCCAUAUGGAAUUUCAGCAAGUGGCAACCACGCUCAGCCUGAGUGCCUCAGAUCAGCCCAAAACAAGCCUCAGGUCAGCAGCUUCAGGACUCAGUUUUUUGCGCGGGGUCAUUUUGUUCCUUGUACUCCUUCCCACUCCCUCUUGGCUGUAUUGCAUUGCCUAUCAUGUUAAAUAAAUUAAAAAAAAAAAAAGUGGGGAGGAAUUCC